UCCAGCAGCCAUAUCACCCUGCAGCUCCCAGCUGGCAGCCCACUGGAGCUCAGCAGGUGUGAGCCUGGUCAGUACCUGGAUGGGAGACUCCUGGGAAAGCUAAGGUUGCUGCUGGAA
rnacentral:rRNA from 1 species